CAACAUCUGUAAUAAAGCCAACAGCACACUAGGUUUUCUUCGAAGGAAUCUUAACAUCAGUUCCACCUCAGUAAAGGAACAGGCAUAUAAAUCUUUAGUCAGACCAUUGAUAGAAUAUGCCUGUUCAGUUUGGGACCCUUACUUUACUGAGGAUAUUAACAAGAUAGAAAAAGUACAAAGAAGGGCUGCUAGAUAUGUCACUAACCGACACAGAAACACCUCAAGCGUUAGUGACAUGCUAGAUCAUUUAAAAUGGAGAGACCUGGAACACAGAAGAACCGAUGCACGCCUGGUCAUGUUCUAUAAAAUUUCAUAUCACCUCAUUGCUAUCACAAAAACAGACAGAUUAAUUCAACCGCUCAGACAGUCCAGGAACAUGCACACACUCUCAUACCAAAUUCCAUCCUGCCGAACACAAA
rnacentral:lncRNA from 1 species